GGGAAAUCUUACCGGGUCCGGACAUACCGAGGAUUGACAGACUGUUAACUGCAACACAUGCUGCUAAGUUUUAAACUUAAUAGCUCUUUCAUGAUUAUAUGAUAGGUGGUGCAUGGCCGUUCUUAGUUCGUGGAGUGAUCUGUCUGCUUAAUUGCGUUUCAAAAUCUAAACCUGAGCGACAAGGUGCUGCUAUCGAAACUGUCUUUGAGUGUGAACUAUAAGUCUUUUGACUUAUGACCAUCACUCUAGACGUUUAUGUUUUGGUGUUGGCCCUUGAUGCUCAUUUGAACGCAACGGACGUGAUUGCAACCCCUUGUUGAGAUUUAUCCGAUCUCUACGUUCACUGAACCACACUCUUUAGCGAGAGCAGUGGGGAUGUGGAUAAACUCGGGGGACUGCUGACUAUAAACUUUUCUCAAACCAGAGGAAGGUUGC
rnacentral:rRNA from 1 species